rnacentral:rRNA from 1 species
GACGAACGCUGGCGGCGUGCUUAACACAUGCAAGUCGAACGGUGAAGGAAGAGCUUGCUCUUCCGGAUCAGUGGCGAACGGGUGAGUAACACGUGGGCAACCUGCCCUGACUCUGGGAUAACUCCUCGAAAGAGGUGCUAAUACCGGAUACGACCACUUCGGACAUCCGAUGGUGGUGGAAAGUUUUUCGGUCAGGGAUGGGCCCGCGGCCUAUCAGCUAGUUGGUGGGGUAAUGGCCUACCAAGGCGACGACGGGUAGCCGGCCUGAGAGGGCGACCGGCCACACUGGGACUGAGACACGGCCCAGACUCCUACGGGAGGCAGCAGUGGGGAAUAUUGCGCAAUGGGCGAAAGCCUGACGCAGCGACGCCGCGUGAGGGAUGAAGGCC